rnacentral:sRNA from 1 species
UGACGAUUUGUCAGUAAAAAUUGAGCCAAGGCCAGACGGACAGCCGGGUCAAAAGCCGA